rnacentral:lncRNA from 1 species
UUACGUUAUCACUUUGUCGAGCCUUUUCCUUAUUUGGGAGAACUGGUAGAAACUCCCAACGUACAAGGCGUUAAGCAUAAGAGUACGUUCAUGGAUCACUAGGUCUUCCCUCUAAACACCUGCAUUCCCUAAUUUUAUACAUAAUUUGGUGUUGGCGUCGAUGCACAAGGAGAAUUGCUCCCCCUUCCUCAAUUUCAAUCACGAAGACAAAUCCAUUUCCUUCCCUAACUGUUUAUCAAACGAAAUUAGAUGUGGUUGCUCUAGAUCUGGUGGUAUUUUGCCCUAGAUUUAAUAGUUGAGGGCGGAAAAUUUCAUGAUUGCUGAAGUACAUAUGCUUCAGAUCUUAUGAAAACGGAUCCACUUUAGCUUCUCCAACAAACCAAAUCGUGGCUCAGAGCAGCGGUUCGUGUUGGUGCUUCAUGACGGUCGUUCAGGAGAGAGGAAUGACAAAAAGAGAAGGUUUAAGAAGUUGAGACGAGAAGCUGAGUAAUAUUUUUAGGAGGUUGCCACAAUAUUUCGUCGGAGAAGAAGGUGGAGGUGGUAGUUUCUGAUUAUAAGAGGAGUAGAGGCGGAGGGAGGUGGCGAACGAAUAAAUCUAGAGCUGCUGGUGUCUGACGGCGAUUUGGUGGUUCCCAGCCGCUGCCUAGUGGUUUCCGACGACGGUAUGAUGAUUUGGCGAUUUGUUCAGGUGGCCGGUGCAACAUUUCUCCGGAGAAGAAGGAUGAGGAGUUGGCUUCCGAUUGUGGGAGGAUUAGAGGUUGGGGAGAUCGUGAAGGAGCAAAUAUGGAGCCGAUGGUUUGGUGUUUCAGGCGGUGGUCUGGUGGCUCCCGACGGUUUCCGGUUGUGGUCCGGUACUGUCAGUUUAGGUCCGUAUGAGAGAAGAGAAUGGGGGAAUUUAGGUGGGUAAUUUGUAUUUGAGUAAAAACACGCGUGUUUUUGAACUUAUAGGCCAAAAAAUGCUCUCACAUUAAAAAUGUUAUCAUUGAAAUGNUUAGGUCCGUAUGAGAGAAGAGAAUGGGGGAAUUUAGGUGGGUAAUUUGUAUUUGAGUAAAAACACGCGUGUUUUUGAACUUAUAGGCCAAAAAAUGCUCUCACAUUAAAAAUGUUAUCAUUGAAA